GGAGGGUGCGAGCGUUAUCCGGAAUUACUGGGUUUAAAGGGUGCGUAGGCGGCUAUGAAAGUCAGGAGUGAAAGUUUGCGGCUCAACCGUAAAAUUGCUUUUGAUACUGCAUAGCUAGAAUUAGGAUGAGGUCAGCGGAAUGUGGCAUGUAGCGGUGAAAUGCAUAGAUAUGCCAUAGAACACCAAUUGCGAAGGCAGCUGGCUAGACCUGGAUUGACGCUGAGGCACGAAAGCGUGGGGAGCGAACAGGAUUAGAUACCCUGGUAGUCCACGCCCUAAACGAUGCUCACUCGACGUAUGAUGCUUGACAUUGUGCGUCCAAGGGAAACCGUUAAGUGAGCCACCUGGGGAGUACGACCGCAAGGUUG
rnacentral:rRNA from 1 species